AGGCAGAGCUGCAGGAAUCUGGGGCUGGGGACAAGGCAAGGGAGAAGAGGCUGGAGGACGAAAUGAAAAUCAUCAGAGAGAAACUUAACCGGCUCCCUUGGGCUCUGCAAAAGCAAGAGACAAAAGCAACAGCCAUCUCUCCCCUGGCUCCCUCUGCUCCUGGAGAAGAAGCCAAAAAGGAGCAAAAUGAGCAGGAUAACCACAAGCGCCCAGGCGUGGUCACA